CUGCAUGGAGCCGACCUUGAAAUACCACCCUUUAAUGUUUGAUGUUCUAACGUGGACCCGUGAUCCGGGUUGCGGACAGUGUCUGGUGGGUAGUUUGACUGGGGCGGUCUCCUCCUAAAGAGUAACGGAGGAGCACGAAGGUUGGCUAAUCCUGGUCGGACAUCAGGAGGUUAGUGCAAUGGCAUAAGCCAGCUUGACUGCGAGCGUGACGGCGCGAGCAGGUGCGAAAGCAGGUCAUAGUGAUCCGGUGGUUCUGAAUGGAAGGGCCAUCGCUCAACGGAUAAAAGGUACUCCGGGGAUAACAGGCUGAUACCGCCCAAGAGUUCAUAUCGACGGCGGUGUUUGGCACCUCGAUGUCGGCUCAUCACAUCCUGGGGCUGAAGUAGGUCCCAAGGGUAUGGCUGUUCGCCAUUUAAAGUGGUACGCGAGCUGGGUUUAGAACGUCGUGAGACAGUUCGGUCCCUAUCUGCCGUGGGCGCUGGAGAACUGAGGGGGGCUGCUCCUAGUACGAGAGGACCGGAGUGGACGCAUCACUGGUGUUCGGGUUGUCAUGCCAAUGGCACUGCCCGGUAGCUAAAUGCGGAAGAGAUAAGUGCUGAAAGCAUCUAAGCACGAAACUUGCCCCGAGAUGAGUUCUCC
rnacentral:rRNA from 1 species